GCCGCCCUAGCUCAGUCGGUAGAGCGCAAGGCUCUUAACCUUGUGGUCGUGGGUUCGAGCCCCACGGGCGGCG
rfam:Selaginella moellendorffii unplaced genomic scaffold SELMOscaffold_67, whole genome shotgun sequence.